rnacentral:rRNA from 1 species
UACGGAGGAUGCGAGCGUUAUCCGGAUUUAGUGGGUUUAAAGGGUGCGUAGGCGGGCUUUUAAGUCAGCGGUAAAAAUUCGGGGCUCAACCCCGUCCGGCCGUUGAAACUGGGGGCCUUGAGUGGGCGAGAAGAAGGCGGAAUGCGUGGUGUAGCGGUGAAAUGCAUAGAUAUCACGCAGAACCCCGAUUGCGAAGGCAGCCUUCCGGCGCCCUACUGACGCUGAGGCACGAAAGUGCGGGGAUCGAACAGG